rnacentral:rRNA from 1 species
GACAGAGGUGGCAAGCGUUGUUCGGAUUUACUGGGCGUAAAGCGUGCGUAGGCGGUCUGUUAAGUUCGGUGUGAAAGCCCCCGGCUCACCUGGGGAACUGCGCCGGAAACCGACAGACUCGAGUACCGGAGAGGAGGGUGGAAUUCCUGGUGUAGCGGUGAAAUGCGUAGAUAUCAGGAGGAACACCGGUGGCGAAGGCGGCCCUCUGGACGGAUACUGACGCUGAGGCGCGAAAGCGUGGGGAUCAAACAGG